UCAGCACACUUCCCAUCCUUCAAUCGACGCCAAAGUGAGCCUCACCCUCCACAGCAGCAGCAGGAUUAUUAGGAGGAGAUGCUGGCGUGCGCGCGCCUUCUGAGGAGGAGGGAAGGGAGGGAAGCUCGCGCCCGAACGCUCGAAAUUCCUCCAAGGAACCUCUGCGAGCUUUUCUUUUUUCAUCACGCGCGAGCUAAAAAUAGAAACGGGGUUGGAUCGUGAUCCAGAAAUAGAUAGGGGGCAUCACUCCUAUAAAAGGCACACCAUUCAAGAGUACAGUGUGUGCACAGUUGGAAGAAGAGAGCAGACUGGCAGCUUUUCUGGAGGAAUGGACACUUUGCUCCUGUGUGGGUUUUCUUCAUGUGGCAUUUGCGUGUUUUUAAAGGAGCCUCUGCUGCUUCAGGUUUUUACUCCCAGGUUCUUCACAUCACACAUACUACACUGAGGCAGCAGCAGUGACCAAACCACAGAGAGGCAGCAGCUACAUUCCACCAUGUGAAUGAGGAAAAUCUGAGAAAGGGAAGUACGCAUUAGUUUCUAUCAUAUUCACUGCUGGUUGCUGUUUACGUCACUCAUGCCUUGCAUUUAUCUCCAUUUUGUGUGUCACCUUCAUUUACUUCUAAUUUUUGAGUCGUCUUUAGGUUGCAGGAUCCCAGACCUCACUAAACUAUCCACAUUAAAUCAACCUCUCCUUUAAAACUUCAUUAUUAUUGCACUUUUUCCGAGCAAAAUUAUCACCAGUUGCUUUUUUUUUUUUUUUUCAAAGUACCUGAGCUGAACCAUACAGUUCUAAGUCGCGUAAGGGAGACAUUUGUUCUAAUUUAUGUGGAUCACGACAACAAGGUGAAACAAAUGUGACACCGCAGCUUGAUACUACAACUUGUGAUGCUACAAUGAUGAUUCAUUCAGAGUUCUAACAGUGUAGCACGCUCUGGAACCUCCAUCACACUGUCAAUGUCAAG